UUGGAUUUUUUGGACCAAGUCACAUUUUUAUACUUUCUCUUAGUUUAGCUUUUUGUUUUUCCAGGAACUAUAUAUUGUGAGUAACAUGUGAGAGACUCUGGAGUCCCAAGGAAAAUGGCCUGGAAUCCUGUUCUAUUCUGAGGUGUGGCAGUGGAAGAAAAGGAAUGAAGAAAGAGCAGGAAUGGGUUAAUAGAAAAAU
rnacentral:lncRNA from 1 species